rnacentral:tRNA from 1 species
GGAAGAGCGACAUCUCCGGUGAGGUGCCCGGACUUCAAAUCCGGCGGGGGACGCGCGGCGUCUCUGGUGGGUUCGACUCCCGCCUCUUCCGCCA